UGCGUUACCAUUUUGUGUUAAACCCGCGUUCUUCUUUUUCUCCUCUCCAGACUCCAUUGCGAUUACUUUCAUCUUCUUCCUUAGAGUACGAAAGCAUACCAGUUACCGAAUAAUCCUCUUAAAACCCUCCAUUAAUCUAUCACACACGAUCUAUAUUCAAUGCAAGUUCUGACUCUGCAAGGCGGUGAAAGUUCACUUAUAAAAAGAUUUGCAGACGGGCCGUUCCUCCUCCACUUUUCAAGUCCGGUUGAUCUAUUUCUGGGAGGCCAGGAAUGUCCACCGUGGUGGAGAGCUCAUGGGAGUGGAUAUGCUACUACUGGAUUCUCAUGUAUCUUAUUUAAAUCUGCCUUUUGUUCAUAAACAGAAUUAUGAAAAGGUCAGCCUUCACCCUUGAACAUCAUCCUCCCAAUUCGUAGUAGCACCAAAAAUCUUAAUUAGUCUGAAGCUGUUCUGAAACUGGUCUCAAAACUGAUAGUAAUCUGUCUUUGUCUGUCUAUCUACUAUCGUUUGUUGCCGUCAAUGUCUCAUCUCAUAUAAGAGGCACCCAUCUGGACCUUGGUGUUAUUACAAAGAUGAACUUUUUGAUAUUUUUGUGGAAUUGUUUAGACAUAAUCAUCGAUGCACCUGAUCAUACCUUGGUAUUUCUGUAUCCAAGACACUUGAAUCCACUCUGGUUAAUGUUUCAUAUGAAUCUUUGUGUCUGCUCAUUAAUUUAAUUCGAGUUUUUUUUUCUGAAGCCAGCUUCCCGGUGUGUCAACCUGCAUUGUUAUGAACCUUUAAGCAAAAUGACCAUAUACCUCUAACUAUCCGAUCUCCCUUGAAGCGUAGAAUCUCUUUAAAGAAAAUUGAGACUUUGUGAAGGGUUGUAUAUGAUUUCCCAACCUUUGUAUUGUUUUAGGUGUCAGUAGUUUAAGUUGUGUUCUGAAGUAGUUGUGUUUCUUCUUAGCUGGAUCGUGUACCGAUGAUAUGACAUGUUUGAUAUUCUUUUAUUAUGCAUUUUGUUUUUUUGGGUUUUAUCUCAGCAACCAUGAAAGGUUGCUUAAUUUUUUUUUCUUUUUCUUUGGUCUGAAUGAUUUUUUUUUUUAAAAUACACCAAUCACGAGCCGCCACUUGUUGGUGGGUCCCGCGAAUAUUAUAAGCAACAAAGAAAACUCAGUGCUUAUUUUGCAUGCGGAAUGGACGAUGCUUGUGUUUUUGGUAGGGUCCCAGGCCAUAAGCAACUCUUUUGAUAGAGCGAUAAAGAUGCUCGUAGACUCUUUAAUUUUUUGGUAAACUGGUUUGCUACAUUCAUUCUUGGAUAGUUAGUUCUCUUCCACUAUAAAUUUAACACCUGUGUAUAGACUAUAAUAUAAAGAUGUAUCAUAAUGUUAGAAUAUUACGAAGAAGCUCAGCUUUUGUGUAUAAUUUAUAGCGUUGAUUCUAAGGUUGCAUAUAAGAUUCCAUUAUAAUAAGAUUAUGUAACGAUGUUUACCUAAGCUGAAUAAAAAUUCUUAAAGCCCGUUCAUGCUGAUUCUCAUGCACUUGAUAUAUAAUUUCGGCACUUGAGUUUGAUUAAUCCGGCGACCGUCUUGCCUUCGACGCAUACGCAAAACUUACAAAUGUGAGUGCCGCAACUGUAAUCAACUCAUGUGCAGGGGCCUGGUGUGGGAGACCUUGAUAAGAACGACAUACACAAAUUCCUUAAAGACGUUGUCGGCCAAACAUGCACUCAAGAAGACACGCAAGGCUAGCUGCUCAAUUUGUCAAAAUAAUGACCUUAUUAAAUUCUUUGUCCUUGCUUUAUCUAUCAUGUUUUCCAACUUUCAAGCAAUUAAAUAGUUCUUGCGGUAACUACACCCACAUGUUGAAUAACUUACCGCAAAGUUUAUAUA